rnacentral:rRNA from 1 species
ACUACGGGGGGCAGCAGUGAGGAAUAUUGGUCAAUGGGCGGAAGCCUGAACCAGCCAAGUAGCGUGCAGGAUGACGGCCCUACGGGUUGUAAACUGCUUUUAUACGGGAAUAACGCGCCUUACGUGUAGGGCUUUGCAUGUACCGUAUGAAUAAGGACCGGCUAAUUCCGUGCCAGCAGCCGCGGUAAUACGGAAGGUCCGGGCGUUAUCCGGAUUUAUUGGGUUUAAAGGGAGCGUAGGCGGCAUGUCAAGCGUGCUGUGAAAUGUCCGGGCUCAACCCGGGCCUUGCAGCGCGAACUGGCGUGCUUGAGUCCGCGGAAAGCAGGCGGAAUUCGUCGUGUAGCGGUGAAAUGCUUAGAUAUGACGAAGAACCCCGAUUGCGAAGGCAGCUUGCUGCAGCGGAACUGACGCUGAUGCUCGAAAGCGCGGGUAUCGAACAGGAUUAGAUACCCGAGUAGUC